ACAGACUGAAAAUGACCCCAGGUGUUUCAGUGAUCUGGGGUCAGAUAACUGUGCCGACAUUACCGUGGUGCGUAUGCUUAUUGCGUGUCAUUUAGUGGCUGCGUGAUAAAACCCAUGCACCAACAUCC
ensembl:snoRNA